rnacentral:lncRNA from 1 species
GCCGGCGGGCGAUGCGCUUCCUCCGCUGAGCGCAGCGCGGCCGAGCCGGCAGGAUGACGGUGGAGUUCGAGGAGUGCAUCAAGGACUCGCCCCGGUUCCGGGCUCGCCAGCGCCGGAUCCCGUUGGGAGCAGGGCGAGCGGGCAUCACCCCGCGGGACUCUGCGCUGAUCGGAACCGCCCGCAGAGCCGCGGCCGAGGAAUACACUCAUUUUCCAUGCGCUCACAUUCCCAUCUCUUGGAGGGUGGAUUUUUUUAGCGGUCUUGAAGGAAUCUGGGCUGUGACAACAAAGGCUCCGGCUUGGCUGUGCCUGCAUCCCCAUCAGGCCGCUGCAGAAAUGCCCGGGGCUGGAGGGGAAGGAGCCGCCACGCUCCGGGCGCUGAUGCUCCAUUGUGCCAGGAGCAUCCUGGCUGCGGGUCCGGAUGGGCUCGGAUGUGCUGCUGCUACUGAGGGAAGAGCGGAGCUUGCACGGGGAGCGAUCCCCGCCGCCUCAGCGCUGUGUCUGCGUGAGCGAAACACAGACAAAAGCCUGCAGGAGCAGCUUGGGCUGUGUGCGUGCAGGGGAAGGAGCUGGCGGGGGGGGGUCUCUGCUUCCUGCAGAUAUUUCGUCUUGUUCCUUCUCGGAAUCUUUUCGUUUAUUUAAAAAAAAAAACCCAACAAAAAAACCCCAAAAGCCAGCUUGCAUUUUUUUUGGAAGAGCAUUUUAAAACGAUUUCUUGGGGUGCAGGCUCCAUCCAGAAGGGCUGCAGUGGUCUGUGGCUGAGGCUGGGCUGACAGAUUGUCAUUUUGUGGUUGUGUGUGGUUGUGGAGAGCUGUAGGUAACACAAGCACCUGGGCGAGUGCCCCUCCUUUACUGCUGCGGGUGGAGAUGUGGGAAGAGUCCUCCUGCACGUGGUUUAAUUGGAAUUCUGCAGGGAGAUCCUGCUCUUCCCGGUGCUGACAGGUGAUGAGCAGUGUCAGGUGAGAUGACAGCUUUGUCUUGCCCAGGCUGCUGCUGCAAUCAUGGCACUUUUCCAUCAGGGAAAAGUUAGGUAGGAAACCCUUGCUUUAAUCCUCUGCUCACUUAGCAUCAAUUAGGAUUUAUCCACCUUUCCCCCCCGCACCUUUAUAUUUUUUUUGCCUGUCAUUCCGUCCCAUUGUGCUGCAGAGCAUGUGAGAUGCUCGGUGGCACCCGGCCAGAGCUGUGACUUCACUGUCCAGAUGUCUCGUCCCACAUGGCAGUGACCCUUUUCCUGGUGACGUCAGCAUUGAUUGAUGUGUUUAUUUAUUUAUUUUGCCCGUGGUGUGUGUGUGGGCUCGGGGCCAAGUUUCUUAGCAUGCAGGCAACAUCAUUCUGCUCUGUCUGCUCCGUCCAUAAAAACAAAACAGCUCUCAGAGCACUCUCUUGGACCUUUAUCAAAAGCCACUUAUUUAAGCCUGGAAUUAUGAACUAUUUCCCCCAUGGCCAGACACAGUCUGACUGUUAGAGGGAGAACAAGAGAUUAGGCUGGAGAAACAAGCUUGGAUAUUUCAGGAGGGCCAGAAUAUGUGCAGCAGGGGAAUAUUUAAACUGUGAACACCUCGAAUAUUGAGAAAUCCUGACAUAAGAAGGAAAAAAAAGAACCAACUUGAAUUAUUCAGACUUUGCACCUCAAAUAUUGAGA